CCACCUUAAUCAGACCAUGAAUCUUUAGAUUUGAUUAUCCAUGAUUUCGAUCUAGCCAUGACUUGAUUUGAUCAUGUUGAUUUCACCAAUCGAGAUAUUGGACCAAUCAUAAUGUUGAAUUGUGUCAUCUGAUCAAUUCGAAUUAUACCUCAUUGAUUUCUCUCUCCUCUAAUUGUCUCUCUCUACUUGAUUUUAUGAAAUCGAUGAAAAAAUCUCGGUCCUAUCACUUUGAAUCCGAUUUGAUCUGAUAGUCAAACUUUGGAUCGUUUAGGUCCUAAUUAGAUUUUGAUUAGAUGAAAUUAGAUG
rnacentral:lncRNA from 1 species